rnacentral:rRNA from 1 species
UACGGAAGGCAGCAGUGGGGAAUAUUGCACAAUGGGCGAAAGCCUGAUGCAGCUAUGCCGCGUGUAUGAAGAAGGCCUUAGGGUUGUAAAGUACUUUCAUCGGGGAGGAAAAACAAAACUAAUAAUUUUAUUUCUUGACGUUACCCGAAAAAGAAGCACCGGCUAACUCCGUGCCAGCAGCCGCGGUAAUACGGAGGGUGCUAGCGUUAAUCAGAAUUACUGGGCGUAAAGAGCACGUAGGUGGUUUUUUUAAGUCAGAUGUGAAAUCCCUGGGCUUAACCUGGAACUGCAUUUUGAAACUGAAAUACUAGAGUAUCGUAGAGGGAGGUAGAAUUCUAGGUGUAGCGGUGAAAUGCGUAGAUAUCUGGAGGAAUACCUGUGGCGAAAGCGGCCUCCUAAACGAAUACUGACACUGAGGUGCGAAAGCGUGGGGAGCAAACAGAAUUAGAUACC